ensembl:miRNA Gm22256 predicted gene, 22256
GCCUAUCCGAGGCUAUGAUUGGCUAGUGAAUCUUGAUUGACAUGACCACCUCACUUAGGGUUAGAGUGAGCCAUAGGUAUAGAGCAUUGGGCUUCCCAGCUCCGGU